GAUCCUGGCUCAGGAUGAACGCUAGCGACAGGCUUAACACAUGCAAGUCGAGGGGCAGCAUGAGGUAGCAAUACCUUGAUGGCGACCGGCGCACGGGUGAGUAACGCGUAUCCAACCUGCCUUACACUCUUGGACAGCCUUCUGAAAGGGAGAUUAAUACAAGAUGUUAUCAUGAGUAAGCAUUUUCGCAUGAUUAAAGGUUUACCGGUGUAAGAUGGGGAUGCGUUCCA
rnacentral:rRNA from 1 species